rnacentral:lncRNA from 1 species
GUCUCAUUUCUUCAUACCCUUCCCAAGCCCAUUGAUAAUUUUCAGGAACAUAACAUGUUACUAUAGGAGAGCUUGGGAUCCAGCUGACUGAAUGUUUACAGAUGACUUGAUGAGACCCAAGAAUGUGGCCCUUAUGCCCGUGGAAGCUUUUAAUUGCCUCUUUUGGAAACUAGUUUUGAUUCUUCAUAAUCACGUCUGUUUGAGGACACAGACGAUCAAUCUUCGAUCUUCCUCAUCUUUCUCACCUUCCUCACUGAACACCUAAGAUCAUUCAGAAUCAAAGAUAAGCACAAUAUAUUUAUGGCCUUGGUGUUUAAAGUGGA